GACGAACGCUGGCGGCGUGCCUAAUACAUGCAAGUCGAACGCAGUUGCGAACGGGUGAGUAACGCGUAGGUAACUGCCUCAUAGCGGGGGAUAACUAUUGGAAACGAUAGCUAAUACCGCAUACUGUGAGAUAGACCUGCGGUGUAUUAGCUAGUUGGUGAGGUAAAGGCUCACCAAGGCGACGAUACAUAGCCGACCUGAGAGGGUGAGCAGCCAAACUUGCAGUGUAAAACGGCCCAAACCCCUACCGGAGGCAGCAGUAGGGAAUCUGUGGCAAUGGCCGGAAGUCUGAACGCGCAACGACGAGUGAGUGAAGAAGGUUUUCGGAUCGUAAAGCUCUGUUGUUAGAGAAGCGGCACCUAACCAGAAAGGGACGGCUAAAUACGUGCCAGCAGCCGCGGUAAUAC
rnacentral:rRNA from 1 species